GCUCUGUGGUCUGCGACUCCCAGGAUUUCCAGUCCUCUCCGCGUUUUCUUCCGUGCAAAACACGUUGCUGGCAUCUGAAAAGGGAAGCAGAAACUGAAUACCUGCAUGUGCAUUUUUACAGAGCUGGAGACCUGAAGCAUGCAGUCUUGGAUUGCUUGAAGCCAACAGAAAAAAAAAUCUGCUAACAGCUUUGAGGUGUGUUUCUCUAUAAUUCCUUACAGCCUGAUGUCCCUUUGGUCCUGGGUAGCGACCCUGCUACCUCCCGCCUUGCUCUUGCUGUUGGACACGGUGGCUGCUCGCAGCCUCGGCAGC
rnacentral:lncRNA from 1 species